UACAGAGGUCUCAAGCGUUGUUCGGAUUCAUUGGGCGUAAAGGGUGCGUAGGCGGCGCGGUAAGUCGGGUGUGAAAUCUUGGAGCUUAACUCCGAAACUGCAUUCGAUACUGCCGUGCUUGAGGACUGGAGAGGAGACUGGAAUUUACGGUGUAGCGGUGAAAUGCGUAGAUAUCGUAAGGAAGACCAGUGGCGAAGGCGGAUCUCUGGACAAAUCCUGACGCUGAGGCGCGAAGGCUAGGGGAGCAAACGGG
rnacentral:rRNA from 1 species